CAUUGAAUAAAAUUUAAGCAUAAUUUGAACAUUGUGGUCGUUCAAUCUUAGUUAUAUAUCAAAGUUAUAAGAGAGUAAUAUAUGUAAUGUAUUUGGUUUAUGUUUCUUUACUAUUAGUAACUGCAAGCAUUGGAAGCACAUUCUCUUACUUUCUCUUAGACUCUUACUUUUGUUAUGGUUUGUUUAUUCUGAUAGCAAACUUAACCGUGAAAAAAAACAAUGACUAAAAUCCCCAUUUUACCAUCAAGAUAUCAUUGUUUGUAUGUACAAUAUAAGCUAUAUAUUGUUUACAAUUCUUAUAUCCUAUUCAGGGAUAACUAAAUAUAAUUUAUUGUGCAGCCGAGUAUAAGCCAAGCAAAGACAAUCACUUACAGCAAAACCUCCCUCAGAGGCCUCAAUGUUAAGGAAGACGAAAGUGGUCUUUUAAUUUAAACAUGAUUACUACAUUAAAAAUUAACCCUACAAAUCCAAAGGUCAUGUUAUUUUACUAAACAUUGAAAACUCAGGGGACUGGUGUAAAGUAUCGGUUUUAAAACCUCACCACCCCUUUAAAACCAAAUGGUGGUUUACUGUUAUUCUUACAAAGGUUUUUGUUUUGAAAUUUACCAUUAUUCAAUAAAGCAACUUAUCAAAUCCGAAAAUAUAAUAAAGAGGAAAGUACCUUUAAUGGCGACUUCACGGAAGUUGGUCUUAGUGUUAGAGUACAGCCUCUUCCACUCAUCCAAUAUCAUCUUGCUAGGAGGCAAGAGAUCAAGUGAAUUUUUGGGCUUCGGUUUUGGUGCCUCCUCUUCCUCCUUUGCAGGCUCCUUCUUGACCUCUUUCUUGGCUUCCUUGGGCAUUGACUCCUUGGCCUGUGCAGCCUGUGCAGGCUUCUUCGCUGAUGAAACAGGAGGAACAGACUCUGCCUGCUUCACCUCGCCCAUUACCUUGCUAAAGUUUGGCUGAUUAACAAGAGUCCAGAAGUAUCUUUCUACAUGGGAAAUUGUGAUGUGAAGCUCUUUAUCAUAAUCUGAGAAAAUCCAUGAUACAAGUUGCAUGUCAUGACGAUAUCGGCCAACGUCACUGAAUGACCCACAAGGUAAGUAUUUGAAGCUAGAUGAGUGUUGAGAGCUUCAAUGCCCUCUUCAAUUUAAAGAUUGCAACUUCCUCAGCCCACAAAUGACAGUUUUGUAAGUAUAUAUAGCAAAUGCAGAAAGGCAUCUCACGAACUGUAUCUCACUGCAUCCGUCUACGUCUUCCUCUUCGAUUGCGAUUGUCUCUUUCUCCCCCCCCCCCUCUAACGUCAAUACAUAGGGUCUGUGUUUUUUUUAUUUUUAAAAUAAAUCUUUUUAGGGGUCAUUUGGAAAGGAUACAAGCUCAUCGAAGGAGUUCCUCAGGCUUUACAAUCUCUGCGAUCUAUGGUAAUUUCUCAACUCUAAUCGCACUUUCAUCGAUAUUGCAGUCAUUUGGUCCUCAGGUUUAGUUUGUUUAUCUUUAUGGUUUUAUUCAUUUUUAUAAUUUUAUUCAUUUUUAUGGUCCUUGGAAACAAUCAAACUACUGAAAGAAGGAGCAUAGAAGAUUAACCACAAGACGGUAUACCACAAGUAUACCAGGUUAUCUCUAUUAAAGAGUGCAAAGUUUCUCUCUUAGCUGAGCUAUUUGUUUCUGUUGGCAUGGAAAUGCAUUCCAUUUUAGAACCUUCAGCUUAUACUUGGUGAAAGUUUUUAAUUGCUUUCGGGACUACUGCAGACAUUUCUGGUUAAUUCGAGAAGCAACUUAUUAUUCUUUGUAUGGAGCUCCUUUGUCAUCAUGUUAUUUUAAUAUUUGCAUUCUACCUUUUUAUGACUACUUUCUAUCUCAUGCAGCUUGAAGAUGGUUUAAAGUUAUCUUUCACUGAUAAAAGGCGCCUUGCAAAAGUUUGCUUACUUCAAGAUGUAUUGUCCAUUGCCCCAAUAUGUCCAUCUUUCCUAUAGAUUCUUACAUCUUUAGCGUCAUUAUAACUCUUCACCAAUUUGUUGGUGCCGCCAACUUCUGUACCUCCAAUAGCCGAGCUUGGUCUGGAUGCAUUGUUAGAGCCUAUGAAGGUGGAGGAAUUUGUAGAUUCUUUGAGCAAAAAGAAAAUUGCAAUUAAAGCUCUACUACUCGAUCAGGCCAGAAUUCAUCCCCUGCAGGUUGCUGCAACUUUGUCAAAGGAGAGCUGUGAAACUUUACAUCGCUGCAUCAAAGAGACACUAUUUGUAGGUUGCCAAUUAUGCCCUUGAAGUUGUUGCUGAUUCCAAUUCUUUUCCAAUUGAAUGGUUGUUUCAUUUUCGAUUGGGGAAAAAGUCUGGAAAAGUUAAUGGUAAGUUUCUCAAUGUAUAUGACUGUCUUGACCAUAAGUCAUUUAUUCUACAGGUUAUUGAGAAAGUUGUGGAAGUUGGAGCAGAUAGUAGGUGAUUAUCAUUUGUAGAUGUACAUGUACACUACUGCUCUUAAUAAAAAAACAAAAACAAAAUCAUCAACUCCUUUUUUUUAUGUGAUACUGGCACAAUUAGGCCAAAUCGUAAUGCACAGGACAAAUGUUGUCUUAA